AUUGAACGCUGGCGGCAGGCCUAACACAUGCAAGUCGAACGGUAACAGGAAGAAGCUUGCUUCUUUGCUGACGAGUGGCGGACGGGUGAGUAAUGUCUGGGAAACUGCCUGAUGGAGGGGGAUAACUACUGGAAACGGUAGCUAAUACCGCAUAACGUCGCAAGACCAAAGAGGGGGACCUUCGGGCCUCUUGCCGUCGGAUGUGCCCAGAUGGGAUUAGCUAGUAGGUGGGGUAACGGCUCCCCUAGGCGACGAUCCCUAGCUGGUCUGAGAGGAUGACCAGCCACACUGGAACUGAGACACGGUCCAGACUCCUACGGGAGGCAGCAGUGGGGAAUAUUGCACAAUGGGCGCAAGCCUGAUGCAGCCAUGCCGCGUGUAUGAAGAAGGCCUUCGGGUUGUAAAGUACUUUCAGCGGGGAGGAAGGGAGUAAAGUUAAUACCUUUGCUCAUUGACGUUACCCGCAGAAGAAGCACCGGCUAACUCCGUG
rnacentral:rRNA from 1 species